rnacentral:lncRNA from 1 species
CAAACACUCGAUAUGAAUAUCUCGGCAAUAGAAUGUUGGAUACGCAAACGUCAAAUUGAUUUCAAACCGAAGCGGUGGUUUUUAUGCCGAUUUAUGCAAGUGGUUAUCUCCCCUUAAUAUCACCAUGCAGUCAAAAAAAACAAAAAAAAACAAGCAAAAUGCAUAAAAAUUAAACAAGGAGUUUACAAUACAAAAAUUAAAAAUAAAAUAAACGAAACUCGAUUUAUAACUAUGUUAUGAUAAUAUAAAGAAGAGAUACUUCCCCC